UGGGGAAUAUUGCACAAUGGGCGAAAGCCUGAUGCAGCGACGCCGCGUGAGGGAUGACGGCCUUCGGGUUGUAAACCUCUUUCAGUAGGGACGAAGCGCAAGUGACGGUACCUGCAGAAGAAGCACCGGCUAACUACGUGCCAGCAGCCGCGGUAAUACGUAGGGUGCGAGCGUUGUCCGGAAUUACUGGGCGUAAAGAGCUCGUAGGCGGUUUGUCACGUCGUCUGUGAAAUCCUAGGGCUUAACCCUGUACGUGCAGGCGAUACGGGCUGACUUGAGUACUACAGGGGAGACUGGAAUUUCUGGUGUAGCGGUGGAAUGCACAGAUAUCAGGAAGAACACCGAUGGCGAAGGCAGGUCUCUGGGUAGUAACUGACGCUGAGGAGCGAAAGCAUGGGUAGCGAACAGG
rnacentral:rRNA from 1 species